GGGAGAUCCGCCUCCCGUCGGGAGCGCUGCACAGCGCCCUUUAAAGGAGCAGAAACCCGCUUUCUCCGCGGCCGCCGCUCCGCGCUCGCCGCAACGCCGAGCCCCGCGCCGGCGGCAGGGCUCCGCGGGCGGCCGGCGAAGCAGAAACGCUCCCGGCUCUCCCUCCCCCGCCACCGCCCGAGGGGCCGAGCUCGCCAGGAGGCGCCCUUCCAAGGCACGAAAAAUCUGAUCGGGGUCCCGCAGCCUGUUUUGCAAACACAGAGGAUUGCUUUAAUGGUGCUAUAGAGCUGAGAAGAGUUUUUGAAGAUGGAUUAUCAUGUUCAAAGGAUAAGUGACAAGAUCAUGCUCAGGAUAAGUGACAAGAUCAUGCUCAGGAUAAAACAACUGCUUUUCUAUUUCAGUAUACUUUUUAUUAUUAUUUAUUAAUGAAUCUUACAACUUUGGAGAUAAUAGGCUAACUGUUCUUCAGUAAUGCUACUCAUAAUCCAAAAUCACUAUUGGUUUGAAUUGCUACCAUCUCCAUCCUGCUAUAAUAUCUGAUUUUUUUUUUUCCCUGUAAUUACCAAAAAUCGAUUGUUGUGAGGAUUUCCCAAGCAACACAGAAUCUGUACGGGAUAAUUGUAAAUGAUCCAUGAAACUGUAAGGACUUGGAGAAAAUUAACUGAUAACUGAUGAGUUCUGCUCUAACAACAUUUUAAUGUACGGUAAACAGCUGAAUCUCAGAACUUGUAUACUUCGAGCUACUUUUCCUAUUUUUUUUUUUUAAGCUAAAAACAAGUUCUUGAAUAACAUCUGCAAACGUGUGUCAGUCUUUACAUGUGUUUAAAAAUGUUUCAUUUUUGUAGUGUAUAGGGCUGGCUAAAGAACUGUUGCAAUUCUAUAAAAUAGAAAUAAUAAAUAAAAAAAUGAAAUAGUAAAUAAGAUUUGGAAAAACUGGGGAAUCUCUAAGAAACAUGUAUAUGAAAGACUUUCUCAGUGAGUUUCAGGUAGACUUCAAAACUGUAUCUGGAAGCCAAAUAAUUAACAAACUAAAAUCUCAGCUAUUGAGAGAUUAAAUUAUAUUGUCAAACCACAGGAGACACCAGUAUAAAAAGAGGCACUGAUCUGCAUCUAUUUUCGACUCAUUUUAGUGAACAUUGUUGAAGUAAGAAUAUAGAAAAGAUCAACAAAGUCUUCAAUAAUGCUAAGGGGGCAUUAAAAAAUCUAAAUGUCAUAUGAAUAUAAGACAAGUAGACAACAAGGCAGGAUUUAAAAAACAACAACAAGCAGAAAAUAUUGUUCAAUAACAAGAUGUGAAGCUAGUUUACCAAAUUACAAUUAAGCUAAAAUAAAAUUAAAAAAAAAAUUAAAAAAAAAAAAAGAAUGAACAAAAUAGUAUAUGGCCCACAUUCUUGACAAGUCUGAAAGCUCCUGAAUUUAUCCUUGAAAUACUUAUCAAAAUUUGAACAUUAUUCCAUGUUAGAACUUCUGCGGGCACAGUCCACUAUAGGUGAAAAUCAGUUCAUGAAAAUAAAGAUGCAUAAAGUCUUCAGUAUGGUUAGACUAAAACAGCUGAUUGAACAUCUCAAGUAAAUAUAUAUAUAAAAAUAUAUUUGAAACAGAAGCAGUAUGUACAUUUGGUGCAAUUAUGAAGCAUUCUCUUUUCAAAAUGGGCUCCAGCUGUGAUUCUAUAUAAGCCUGAAAGACAGGCAGCUGGUUUAAGAGCACAGUAUACAUAGGUCAGUAUGGGGUUGUUAUUCAGUGUUUGUUGCUAAUAACUGUACAGAAGCCAAAGUGGAAAACCUGACUAACUGGAUGUUAUUCGAGAUAUCACAUUAUGAAUAGAUAGGCAUAUUAAUUUUGUAAGUUCAAUUGAUAAAGAAUUAAAAUUAAUACAAAAGAACAAGUAGUAGGUCCCUUUGGACUUCCUGUGUAAAAGAAAAGCUUUUGAGAAGUACACUGGGUUCAUUAGACCAAAGAAAGCAACAGGGUGAGAGUCAUAUACACAGUGACAAGAUAUUAAUUCUGAAAUGAUAAUUACAUUCAAAGUCAGUAGAUCACAGAGGAACUGUGUAAACAAAUCUGGUAUGGUUCCCCUCUUUAUAAUAGCACUGUCGAGAUUAGUUAUUGGCAAAAUUCAAAGGUUUAAAAGUUCAGCAGUGAUUUGCAUUCUAAAUUUUAGAGGCUUACUUGAAUAUGUUUUAGCUUAAAGCUUUAGUGCAAAAAUAAGGUGAAUAUUCUAGUAAGUGAUUACCUUUCAUUUCCUGGUCUCAGACAUAAUAGAAGAGCCAAAGUUACAAUAAUAUCCAUCCAUCAUAUGCCAAGUGGUCACUUUUUAAAGAAGCCUGUUCUCAUUCUCUUCAGCUAAUCUUCAUAUGGCUCUCACCCAGCUUCCUCUGGCCAUCAACAAAAAAUAUCCAUUCUAUUAAUUUUCUCCAUCUUCUUGUCUUUCAGGAGGUUAAGAAAAAUAUUUGAUGUUCUUUAUAGAAUUCCACUGAAUAUAAGCUUAAGUCUCAGCUCUCUGAUCCAUAGAAUACUUUGGUAGUCAAGGAAAUUAGUUCUUACUUUGACAGAAGAGACUCCUUUGCAACUAGUCAGAAAAACAGUGAAAUCAUGUAAUUUUUUUUUUCUUUCUACAAGACAAAUCAUAUGCAGAGCAAGUCCCAAAAUAAACUUUUAUCAAUCCAUCAACAUUAGUGAAACUGCAACUUAGUUCCACAGCUUAACACCAACUAGUGUGUCACUAUGUGAUUCAUACCUAAUUACUAUUUUAAGUUAUUAUCAUUAUUGAUGAGAAAAAUAUGGCCAGAAGUUCUGGCUCACGUAGUAAAUAUCAUUUAUGACCAAGACAUGCAGAAUGCUUUCCAGAGUUAUGAGGAGAGAAGGAACUCCAUACUAGAGAAUAAUAAAGCAAGGCAUCUGGAUUACCUUGCAAUGUCCUCAGUAGGACUUGGUCUUUUCAAAAUGCUACACUAGGAUUUUUACAUAAUAUUACACUUCCUGACAUCAGAUCAUUGCCACAGCAGGACAGACACUGUUGUGCACUGCCCUGCUACACUUGAGCAAGCGUGUCGUAGUAGCCACAAACUGACCAUUCUUGGACCAACUGAGGUGAGGAAAUAUUGUUGAGACAUAAUGAUAUGUACCAAUUUCUAGCAAAACUUGAGGUUUUACUGGGAAUUAAAGUAACAAUAAGAUUCCAAAACUCUGACAAUUUUCCCAUAGUCCAGAAAAUAUCCUUUUGUUUAAAACAGUAAAGGAGACUCAAGAAGAAAAAAAAAUGACAGUGAAUAUUUUACGGUAGGGUUGAUAUAUAUGAGCAGCAAAAUGUUUGGUGCUUUGGGCCAAUUAAAAAUAUUCAAGUUUGUUCAACUGGUAAAAAAUAAACUGAAGUAGAAAACGAAUGAUAAGAAUGGGAUAUUUCACUUCUAAAAAUUAACACUCUUGCAGGCAUAGACAUAUUUUACUUUCACACUGAUGCACUGCACCAGUAGCUUCCAGCAGCAAAUGACAGAGUAUAUCUCAUACAAAAAUAAAACCUCUACACUUCAACCAUUUCUUUAAAAGAGCCUGUAUAAAUAUUACACCAUUGUAAAUUCAACAGUUAUCAAGACAGCACCAGAUGUAGAUUUAUCCUAGAGGAUUUUAUGUGUUUUGCAGCACUAUGUCUCAUAAAAACUGCAAUAAAUAUGCUAAUUUUUAAUGUCUUCAUACUUUAGUUUCAUGUGUUAUCAACUUAUAAAACAAAGAUUAAAUGUAUAUGGAUAUUA